ACAAUCAUAGAUACCUACCACAACUUUACUCUUUUCUCUCUUCUCUUUCUUCUAGAAUCGUCAUCUUCUCACCGGAUUUUCAACAUUGAAUCAAGAUCAAAGAUCCGCCUAUAUAUCUUGAAGAUCCGACCAUAAAUCUUGAAGUUAAUGAUUUUGGUUGUUGUAUUUUUUCAUGUGAUUCCUUACAUCCGUUAUAACAAUCUGAAUCCCACCAUUCGUCAAGCAAUAGAGAUCCGACCAUAAAUCUUGAAGUAAAUGAGGGAUAUCUACAAAUUUUGAUGGUACACGGCUUUUCAUUAACGACAAUUUUGAUCAGAUGCUGACAUUCAAGGAAAAAAUCUUAAUACCAUGUUGGGUCGAAGAUGUUGGAGAAUGAACUUAAGCGUAAUUUAGAUGCCGUUUAUGAUGUGGAUUUAUGUUCUUCUCAGUCUUCCACUAAACCGCCUAAGGGUGAUUGUGAGAACAAUGAAGGUUUGAAUGUGAAGGUGGGUCUUUUGAAUCCAAAGCUGGAAAAGUAGUCUCAGAAUCUAAUAGUCACCUCAAUUUCUUCAAACAAUUUUCAAUGUUUUUUUUCGUUCAAUCGUAUUCAGAACAUUUAUGUCAGUACUUGAUGUUGCUUUUUACUCAAUGUUUGUUGCGGUUUAUCUUAAUUUUCGUUUAUUAUUGUUA